UGUGUAGGCGGCUUUUUAAGUUUGGUGUGAAAUCUCCCGGCUCAACUGGGAGGGUGCGCCGAAUACUGAAGGGCUAGAGUGCGGGAGAGGAGAGUGGAAUUCCUGGUGUAGCGGUGAAAUGCGUAGAUAUCAGGAGGAACACCGGUGGUGUAGACGGCUCUCUGGACCGUAACUGACGCUGAGACACGAAAGCGUGGGUAGCAAACAGGAUUAGAUACCCUGGUAGUCCACGCCCUAAACGAUGCAUAUUUGGUGUGGGUCAUUCAGUUGAUCCGUGCCGGAGCUAACGCGUUAAAUAUGCCGCCUGGGGAGUACAGUCGCAAGGCUGAA
rnacentral:rRNA from 1 species